UACCAGCACCCCGAGUGGUCGGGACGAUUAUUGGGCCUAAAGCAUCCGUAGCCGGUUUUACAAGUCCUCCGUUAAAUCCAGCUGCUUAACAGAUGGGCUGCGGAGGAUACUAUAAGACUAGGAGGCAGGAGAGGCAAGCGGUACUCGGUGGGUAGGGGUAAAAUCCGUUGAUCCAUUGAAGACCACCAGUGGCGAAGGCGGCUUGCCAGAAUGCGCUCGACGGUGAGGGAUGAAAGCUGGGGGAGCAAACCGG
rnacentral:rRNA from 1 species